ACGGUAAACACAUCGCCCUCGCAAUCC
rnacentral:sRNA from 1 species